GAUGAACGCUAGCUACAGGCUUAACACAUGCAAGUCGAGGGGCAUCAGGAAGAAAGCUUGCUUUCUUUGCUGGCGACCGGCGCACGGGUGAGUAACACGUAUCCAACCUGCCCUUUACUCGGGGAUAGCCUUCCGAAAGAAAGAUUAAUACCCGUUGGGAUAAUGAUUCCGCAUGGUUUGAUUAUUAAAGGAUUCCGGUAAAGGAUGGGGAUGCGUUCCAUUAGGUUGUUGGUGAGGUAACGGCUCACCAAGCCUUCGAUGGAUAGGGGUUCUGAGAGGAAGGUCCCCCACAUUGGAACUGAGACACGGUCCAAACUCCUACGGGAGGCAGCAGUGAGGAAUAUUGGUCAAUGGGCGCGAGCCUGAACCAGCCAAGUAGCGUGAAGGAUGACUGCCCUAUGGGUUGUAAACUUCUUUUAUAUUAGAAUAAAGUGCAGUAUGUAUACUGUUUUGUAUGUAUAAUAUGAAUAAGGAUCGGCUAACUCCGUGCCAGCCGCCGCUGUAA
rnacentral:rRNA from 1 species